AAGAGAGACAAAUAAAA
rnacentral:sRNA from 1 species